AAAGAAUUUCAGCUCUUGUUCCCCCUGCUCCCUCUUGUGCCCACGUUCUACGCUGCCAUGCCCUGCUCACAAGAGGCACAAGUCGUCUCCCCCAGCAAGUGGGCCUGGGCCACGGAGGCGGGAGAUAUGCAUCUCCGCUUUGCCCGGCUCUCGGAGCACGCCACAGCCCCCACCAAGGGGUCCGCGCGCGCCGUGGGCUAUGACCUGUACAGUGCCUAUGAUUACACAGUACCACCGAUGGAGAAAGUGCUUGUGAAAACUGACAUUCAGAUAGCCCUUCCUUCUGGGUGCUAUGGAAGAGUGGCUCCUCGUUCUGGCUUGGCAGCAAAACACUUCAUAGAUGUAGGAGCUGGUGUCAUAGAUGAAGAUUAUAGAGGAAAUGUUGGUGUUGUCUUGUUUAAUUUUGGCAAAGAGAAGUUUGAAGUCAAAAAGGGUGAUCAAAUUGCACAGCUCAUUUGUGAACGGAUAUUUUACCCAGAAACAGAGGAAGUUCAAAUUUUAGAUGACACUGAAAGGGGUUCCGGAGGCUUUGGUUCCACUGGAAGUAAUUAAAACUUAUGCCAAGAACAGGAAAUGAGAAUGCACUUUUUUCUUGAAAAUAAAGACUUUGCUUAAAGUG